UAAAAAAUAGCCUACUGAGUCCAAACUUUUUCAUAAUUUCUUAAUAAUACAGAGUCUGAAAUAUAAUUCCUCUCUCAAAUACAGCAUCUGUGGUUCACUCGAUAGGUGCCUCAGUGGUGAUUACAUUGACUGUGAGAAGCCAGAAUGACACAGAUCUCACCCACUAUGGAGACUCUUUGUCUGGGUAGUGGCUGCUAUGGAAACACUGGCAGAAAGAGUGAAGGUUAGAGAAAUACUGAUAACUGAAUACAGAAUUAAUAAUGCAGGGUUAUGCGUGGCCAAGUCUUACUUUCAGGCAGAGAGUUGUUCAGUUCACACUGACUUGUGAUAUUUAUACGUUGAUUAUAUGGAUGGAAGUGUAGAUACAAAAAUGAUGUGGACUGAUUAGUGAUCAUUAAAAUCCAAGAUUGCUUGGCUUCAAAAGUGGUAUAAAUCCUGCCUGUAAGCAUAUCAUUUUUGUUUCUGCGUAAUCACCACUCAGACACGCUCUCCUGAGGCCAUAAGAUGAUUAAGCUUUUGCACAGAAUUAUAAAUGAGACAGGUGGAUAUGUGCUCUUUUUUGACUUAUGGUUCUUUAAGUCUGAAGACUGAGAUGGGUAUGAUUUAUGCAUCUUGAAAGACAGCUACGACUGUGAGUAUAAAAGAUCACAAUCGGCCCACUGGAGUUUGGCAGAUUUGAUUAGAUUGCUGUGAGUGUCCUUUCAUCUUCUCAUCAUUGCUUCUGCUUUUCUUGGCUUUCAGCCAUAUAAAUGGCCUUUCUGUGCUGACUAAGAAGCUGGCUACCUGCAUGGAAAGACUGUGUUUGAUGUGUGCUACUACAAUGGAGUGGACAAACCAACAUGGUUUGAUGAAUCCCACAAAAUCAAGAGAACCGUGAGAGUUGAUGUCUCAAAAAAAAGAGUGGUGACCUGUCCCAAUGCUUCUUUCAGUGACCUGACCAAAAUAGUGUCCAGAAUUAGAGCCAGUGAAGCAGGCUGUCAUGGAAGACAGAGCAGCAGCUGGAGAAUUAGGUGGAGAAAAUGGAUAUCAAGAUCACAAAGGCUGAGAAAAUCCAAAAUACUUAUCUCAGAGUAAGACCAUCUGCACUUAAAUAAAACAGGAAGCCUCUCUUUAUGACCACAACACUCUUUGAGGAACAACUUUUCUUUUCUUUCUUUCUUCGUUUAGUGGACUGAUUGAUUCACUGACUUACUCACUUAAGACAAUCUGUUUGAAAGUUUAUACAAAUAUAACCAUAAAGUUAAAGAAAUACUUGUAGUUGAAUCCCCAUUGAUGUCGAUACAGUGAUUCUUUUGUUUCUGAGUUGUUUAAUGUUUCUAUUUGGCAUGAAUGACUCGUUCUUUAUUGGCCUGAGAUCACAUCCUCUAAAAUCUGCCUCACAUCACUUUGAAAUUUGCCCCAUGGCUGAGUCUUCAGUUUUGAUUGACUUUUGUGCUGAUUAGUAUUGAGGCGCCUCUCCUUCCUUUGUCCCUUUCACCUCCAGCUAUCUUCAAGAUUAACUACCUUCUGGCAACAUAUUCAAAGUCACAGCCCAGAGCUCCACUUAAAGUCAUAAUCUAAUCAGAUACGAGACCCUGGCUAGCUCACAAAAGCCUUUUAACAGAGAGAAUAGCAGUUCAGCAGUUAUGCUGAAGUGAGGACAGAAGUUAUGGGCCUAGUUGGUAUAAUGGGACAGUUUAAAUAAUGCCUUUAAAGACAUCAUUUAGUGUAGUUUAGGGCAAUGGUUUAUAGCCCUUUUAAAACCUUGGAGGAUGAUGAAACAAAAGCUGAAUAAGGUCUCAGAAAUCUAUGUGUGGACUGGAAGGUUGAAGGUUUAGAAAGAAGAUCUAGAGUUGGCA